rnacentral:lncRNA from 1 species
UGUUAAAAACUGUUCUCGCGCUCAUUUAGUUCCGGAAACAGGUCGACACACUCCAGACAACCAUAAAAACUUCCAGAAUAUCUCAAAACACUAUUUUUACACUAGAACCUUGAAAUUUGCUACAGUUCUGUGUGCUACAAAAUUUGACCAAAUAUUUUUAUAAAAUAAAAUAAAGUAAAUAAUAACUGAUAGUUAAUAUCUAUUAAAUUUACUAUAUUUUUAAUUUAUAUUAAAAUUUUUAAAUUUUUCAGUAAUUUUUUUCUCACAUAUGCCUUUAUAAAAUAAUUUAAUUACUAACAAAUUCUUACAAAAAUUUAUAUAGCACAUAAAUCAAUUUACAUCAUUUUUAUUUAAAUUAUUUUUUAUACUUUUUUAAUUAAUAAUUAGGAUAAUAAAAUAAUGUGAAUACUUUAAUUAUAAUUUAUUAUUAAAAUAUUUU